GUAAGGAAUAUUGGUCAAUGGAGGCAACUCUGAACCAGCCAUGCCGCGUGCAGGAAGACGGCCCUCUGGGUUGUAAACUGCUUUUAUCCGGGAAUAAACCUACCUUCGUGAAGGUAGCUGAAUGUACCGGAAGAAUAAGGAUCGGCUAACUCCGUGCCAGCAGCCGCGGUAAUACGGAGGAUCCAAGCGUUAUCCGGAUUUAUUGGGUUUAAAGGGUGCGUAGGCGGCCUGUUAAGUCAGGGGUGAAAGACGGUGGCUCAACCAUCGCAGUGCCCUUGAUACUGAUGGGCUUGAAUGGACUAGAGGUAGGCGGAAUGUGACAAGUAGCGGUGAAAUGCAUAGAUAUGUCACAGAACACCGAUUGCGAAGGCAGCUUGCUAUGGUCCUAUUGACGCUGAGGCACGAAAGCGUGGGGAUCGAACAGGAUUAGAAACCCGGUAGUCC
rnacentral:rRNA from 1 species